rnacentral:rRNA from 1 species
GAUGAACGCUGGCGGCGUGCUUAACACAUGCAAGUCGAACGAACCUUCGGGUUAGUGGCGGACGGGUGAGUAACGCGUGGGAAUCUGCCCUCAGGAGGGGGAUAACGGUUGGAAACGGCCGCUAAUACCCCAUAUGCCGAGAGGUGAAAUGAAUUUCGCCUGAGGAUGAGCCCGCGUCUGAUUAGCUAGUUGGUGAGGUAAGAGCUCACCAAGGCAUCGAUCAGUAGCUGGUCUGAGAGGAUGAUCAGCCACACUGGGACUGAGACACGGCCCAGACUCCUACGGGAGGUAGCAGUGGGGAAUUUUCCGCAAUGGGCGAAAGCCUGACGGAGCAACGCCGCGUGAGGGAUGAAGGCCUCUGGGCUGUAAACCUCUUUUCUCAAGGAAGAAGAUCUGACGGUACUUGAGGAAUAAGCCACGGCUAAUUCCGUG